rnacentral:rRNA from 1 species
CAGUCGCCGCGGUAAUACGAAGGGUGCAAGCGUUAAUCGGAAUUACCGGGCGUAAAGCGUGCGUAGGCGGUGAGUUAAGUCUGCUGUGAAAUCCCCGGGCUCAACCUGGGAAUGGCAAUGGAUACUGGCAAGCUAGAGUGUGUCAGAGGAUGGUGGAAUUCCCGGUGUAGCGGUGAAAUGCGUAGAGAUCUGGAAGAAUACCGGUGGCGAAGGCGGCCCCCUGGACAAAGACUGACGCUCAGGUGCGAAAGCGUGGGGAGCAAACAGGAUUAGAGACCCCUGUAGUCCCUGUCUCUUAUAC